GGCAUCCACCGUGUUCCCGGGCCGCACGGCCGCAGCCGGCGGGCUCUCCGGGUGGGUCCCCCUGACCCUCCACCCCAGCUCUCCAGACUCGCCUCGAUCUCCGUCGGGAUAGUGGCAAAGGCAAGAAAGACAGUCUUCUUUGGUGCCGCGCUGUCCCCGCCAGGGAAAGACAGCAAGUUGUGCUGCGCCCGGGACUCGCGAGGGACCGCGGCCGCCGCCCGACCGGGGGCCACCAGCCAUCUUCACUCCAAAGUAUGAGAAGCUGAUCGCGGUAAUACUGAAACUCUGUUACGGCAAGUAGCUACAUACGCCUUGAAGAGCGGUGGACUACCUGGGAGUUUCUUGUGACUACAUCUCUGGCCAGUUUGACUUGGGCAAGUGUGAGAUCGGCUGGGCCUACUACUGCACCGGGGCAGGGGCUGCGGCUGCCAUGCUGCUGUGUACAUGGAUGGCUUGCUUCUCAGGCAAGAAGCAAAAGCACUACCCCUACUGAGGUGGUCAAGAACGAGCUGAGGAGAGGACAGACCACCGGAGACCAGAGGGCCCGAAGCAUCCAGCGACUUUCACAAGGUGGAAUAGUGGUUGUAAACCCAGAACAGUGUUAAUGUGAUGAAAUUCGGUUGAAUCUGGAACAUUCUAUAGGAAGGGAGGGUGGUGGGGACAUUGUCAUUGUCAAAAGCAUGGAGAAUAAGGGACGGUGGAGGAAAAUGGACCAAAGGCUAAAAACAUUGCAGGGCAUUGUUGUUUCUAUUCCACAGAGUACCGUUAAUGUAUAUCAUAUACCCAGCAAAUCUAUAUAUGCAAACGAGGAUCUCAUUUUUGUUCUCCUUCAAAAAGAUGAGGACUAGGGGAGUCAAAAGGGCUAGUAGAAACAGUAUUAUCUUAGGAAGCAGGAUGAGUACCCUGCAGACAUUCCCUGUAGAUGAGGAUUGAGCCUGAAAGCACAUGAGUACGUGCACACAUAUGCACACAUCAUAUUCACAUACCACAUGCACAUGUUAUAUGCACAGGUCAUACGCACAUGCCAUAUGCAUACAUCACACGCACACAUCAUACGCAUAUGUCAUCACACCACUGCACAGGGGGUCAGCUGUGUACUGUUGCUCCUGUUUCUUUUCUUUUUUUUAAUAUACAUCAGGACAGCAUCAUCACUAAGCAUACAUUAAGCCUAGUCCAUGGACCAAUAUGCCACUCUAUCAGUAUUUUUGAUAUCCUGCAUAAACUCUUUAUGCCCGCAGCAUAUCUUUUAGUGUUUAUGCAAAUCUUUAGAGGAAAGCCUUCAAAUGUCAAUGUUAUUCAAAGACACACAGUAGUGAACUGAGUAGCUUCUGCUGUAACAACCUCACGUAGAACAGGACAGCUUUUGUCUACUAUAGGUGAGAAUUCAGUUGCAGAUUUGAGAGUGAGGAGAGCUUUCUCCAGUUGUUGGAUCUUCUUUUCUUUUCUCCAUUAUUCUACUGUGCUAUACCAUGAUUAUUUCAAUAUUCAUUUUGUAAAGGGAAAAAAAAGUACUAUUUUGUUUGUAUUUGAAAAGCUCUGUGAAUAAAUUCUCUUUGAUC
rnacentral:lncRNA from 1 species